GCCAGCCGGGAACCGGGGCAAAUCGGACCUCGCAACGCUGAUAGGAAGCAUCAAGCAUGGAAAGAUUUCCGCCGUAUCAGGACAGCCCUACAGGGAUUGCGCGGUUCCAAUUAAAGGAGACUGUGGACGUCGGAAGUGACAGUGCCGAAACAGCUUUGACAUGUGACUGGUUCAUGUGGCGCGUAGUAGAUACGCGGAAAAUAUUGGAAAGGAGACAGGCAUGUUUAUUAUGAAAUGAACCAAGCAGUGACAAGCGCGACGUGUACACGCUUACUGACACGUGGCUGAAAGAACUUUGUGCCGAUUGAUGGAGAUGUCACAAAGUCAAGUUCAAUACGUAAAUAGGGAAAGGAGAAGCCGCGACGAUAACGCCAGCGGCGUAAUGAAACCAUGGGGCGCCGAGACUGUAUCGAGUAUCCGAACAGGCUGCUUUGAUGUCUUUCCCUUGGAAAAAUCAACCACUAUGGCGGCAGCACGAGAUGAUUUGUUUCUAGUCAGUGUCUGAUUUGAUGGUAUCUCGUUGUGAUAAUUGGUGGCCAUCAUGUAUAGCCGGUCACCUGUGGGCAGAACACAAGAUAAUAAGUUGAAAUAAAUAAUAAGGAGAGCUAGGCUAAACAGAAAAACGUCACGGUACCAGCCGCAAUAACGACCUCAUUAACAGCGCAAUGGCUGGCAGCAGAAAAACUUCUCCCCAAGUAGAGCUAUCGGCUAAGCAAGAGUAAGAAAUAAAAGCGGAGGCAUGCGAAAUCUAUUGCGGCUGAUUUCCAGCCAUUGUUUCUUGAUGUACAGAGCACUGCAGAUUUCCCGUGUGAACGAAUCGUGUGAACAUCAGACAGAGACUUACAAGUUGUAAUAGUUUGUCGUGCGCCACCCCUUCAUCGCGCUUCGUGAUGCCGCUGAUGUUUAUCGCUAUGGGUAUACGCCCAAUGCUGAAUUAUCCUUAUCGAUAGCAUCAAACGUCUUUGCCUUCAAUAGCGAAAUGUAUUAAACUGAUACUGUCUCUUUACUAUAUUGAAUGACAGUAAUUAACUAUAGACGACAGAUCGAUACCUACCCAGACAGUGUGUUUUUAGACUUGAGCAGUGACGCUAUGGGUUUUAAUGUCCGAAACGUCAGAACCGUUUUGCUGAAAUAGAUACGACGAAAUCAUCUGUGAUAGCGCUGACUACAACGGAGAGAUGCAUUGCCUGCCGUCAGACACUCGUCAUAGUAUGGUACUUUUCUACCUGACAGAGCUGCCGCUUGUUCGCCGAUCAUGAUCUCAUGAAAAAGAUCGUUCGGCUAAGAUUCGCGCACGGAAGCUUUUACUCUUCCGCCAACAGGGAACAGAAGAAGCGGCCAGAGUUCUUGUCUGUCUAAUAAUGCUUGGCCAUCGGUACGGAGAGUAGGGAGGAUCCUAUUGUCACAGCACACUAUAGGCGCACUUGGGUGUACAAUAGUGUUCCUCACAGCGGUGCUCCUCAUUUAGUGCCAUUAUCUACGAUGAGCGAACGAAAGUUGACCUGAUUAUGAUAUCAUUGAACUGAACGUCAGUCACAACCUAUUCCAGUCUGAAUAACUAUUUAAGGUCUUGUCUUACGAUACACACAUACAAAAAUGGAUAUCUGA